rnacentral:rRNA from 1 species
AAAUUGAAGAGUUUGAUCAUGGCUCAGAUUGAACGCUGGCGGCAGGCCUAACACAUGCAAGUCGAACGGUAACAGRAAGMAGCUUGCUKCUUUGCUGACGAGUGGCGGACGGGUGAGUAAUGUCUGGGAAACUGCCUGAUGGAGGGGGAUAACUACUGGAAACGGUAGCUAAUACCGCAUAACGUCGCAAGACCAAAGAGGGGGACCUUCGGGCCUCUUGCCAUCGGAUGUGCCCAGAUGGGAUUAGCUUGUUGGUGGGGUAACGGCUCACCAAGGCGACGAUCCCUAGCUGGUCUGAGAGGAURACCAGCCACACUGGAACUGAGACACGGUCCAGACUCCUACGGGAGGCAGCAGUGGGGAAUAUUGCACAAUGGGCGCAAGCCUGAUGCAGCCAUGCCGCGUGUAUGAAGAAGGCCUUCGGGUUGUAAA